rnacentral:rRNA from 1 species
AUACGGAGGAUCCGAGCGUUAUCCGGAUUUAUUGGGUUUAAAGGGUGCGCAGGCGGCCAUUUAAGUCAGCGGUUAAAUCGUGGGGCUCAACCCCAUUCUGCCGUUGAUACUGGGUGGCUUGAUUGCGGUCGAGGUUGGCGGAAUUCGUUGUGUAGCGGUGAAAUGCAUAGAUAUGACGAAGAACACCGAUUGCGUAGGCAGCUGACCAGACCGCAAAUGACGCUCAUGCACGAAAGUGCGGGGAUCGAACAGGAUUAGAUACCCUGGUAGUCCGCACAGUAAACGAUGAAUACUUGUUUUCGGCGAUAUAAUGUCGGAGGCAAAGCGAAAGCGAUAAGUAUCCCACCUGGGGAGUACGCCGGCAACGGUGAAACUCAAAGGAAUUGACGGGG